rnacentral:rRNA from 1 species
GUGUCAGCCGCCGCGGUAAUACGGAGGGGGCUAGCGUUGUUCGGAAUUACUGGGCGUAAAGCGCGCGUAGGCGGACGGUCAAGUUGGGGGUGAAAGCCCGAGGCUCAACCUCGGAAUUGCCUUCAAAACUGAUCGUCUCGAGGCCGGGAGAGGGCAGUGGAAUUCCCAGUGUAGAGGUGCAAUUCGUAGAUAUUGGGAAGAACACCGGUGGCGAAGGCGGCUGCCUGGCCCGGACCUGACGCUGAGGUGCGAAAGCGUGGGGAGCGAACAGGAUUAGAUAACCUGGUAGUCCACGCCGUAAACGAUGGGUGCUAGGUGUCGGAGGACUUAGUUCUUCGGUGCCGCAGCUAACGCGUUAAGCACCCCGCCUGGGGAGUACGGCCGCAAGGCUAAAACUUAAAUGAAUUGACGGGG